AUUGAACGCUGGUGGCAGGCCUAACACAUGCAAGUCGAACGGUAACAGGAAGCAGCUUGCUGUUUCGCUGACGAGUGGCGGACGGGUGAGUAAUGUCUGGGAAACUGCCUGAUGGAGGGGGAUAACUACUGGAAACGGUAGCUAAUACCGCAUAACGUCGCAAGACCAAAGAGGGGGACCCUCGGGCCUCUUGCCAUCGGAUGUGCCCAGAUGGGAUUAGCUUGUUGGUGGGGUAACGGCUCACCAAUGCGACGAUCCCUAGCUGGUCUGAGAGGAUGACCAGCCACACUGGAACUGAGACACGGUCCAGACUCCUACGGGAGGCAGCAGUGGGGAAUAUUGCACAAUGGGCGCAAGCCUGAUGCAGCCAUGCCGCGUGUAUGAAGAAGGCCUUCGGGUUGUAAAGUACUUUCAGCGGGGAGGAAGGGAGUAAAGUUAAUACCUUUGCUCAUUGACGUUACCCGCAGAAGAAGCACCGGCUAACUCCGUGCCA
rnacentral:rRNA from 1 species